ACCCUCCCUUAGGAGUGAAUCCCCAGAAGACCAAAGUAUUUAUACAUUCAGUGGUUCAGUCAUUCCUAAAAUGGUAAUCCUUUAUACUUCAUUUUAGAAAUGCAUACUGUGAAGAGCCAUGCCUGAAGUGAUGCUAUCCCAGACAGAAAAAUAUGACUUCAAACCUAAUGGGAUUCUCCUCAGACCAGUACGUGCUGGGAGCAUGAAGGAGCUAUCAGGACUGAGCUGAUACUUUCAACUCUGGAGAUGUAUCUUGUUGCCUGCACAGUCAUUUAGCCAGGGCUUGAUCUGGUGAGUGCUGAGCUCCUACUGAAGUGAGGAUAUGGGGUGUUCUGCGCCUAGCUGCAUCAGGCCUUUUAUCUUUAUCUGGCUCCUCAUACGCAAGACACUGG